rnacentral:rRNA from 1 species
UACGUAGGGUCCGAGCGUUGUCCGGAUUUAUUGGGCGUAAAGAGCUCGUAGGCGGUUUCGUAAGUCGGAUGUGAAAACUCAGGGCUCAACCCGGAGACGCCAUCUGAUACUGCGAUGACUGGAGUCUGGUAGGGGAUCACGGAAUACCUGGUGUAGAGGUGAAAUGCGCAGAUAUCAGGUGGAACACCGAUGGCGAAGGCAGUGAUCUGGGCCAGUACUGACGCUGAGGAGCGAAAGCGUGGGGAGCAAACAGG